CCUUGUUUUCGGUGAUAUAUGCAUACUAUUAGAAGUAGCAGGACGUCCCACUUCCAAGGUUGCCUCAAUCACAAUGACAAAACGUUAUAUAAGCCUCCACCGGUGUAUUCCCAAGAUGUUCAGGUAUAUGCGUAACACAAGGUACUUGAUUCAUAUGACAUUUGUCAAUGCAAUAGUCCCUUUCUGACAUAUCUCCCAUGCCAUAAUAGUCGCAAAAUGACGUACAAUCAUUUACUUUGCAGUUGGAGCCCAAAGUUAAACCUGAAUCUAGACACAUUGCCAUCAUCAAUAUCAGCCCAAGUAAAAUAUUCCUGUGUGUGUGCAUGUUUUUCAUAUCUGAAUUUUUAUUUGUAAUGUGCAUUUGGAGCAAGAUUUUCUCAAUUUUAAGAUUGUUU
rnacentral:lncRNA from 1 species